UUCAUUUAGUUGUUUUUUAGUUUUUCUUUUUUUUUUUUUUUUAAUUGCAUCUGUCACUGUUUCCUCAUCUUUUAGUCUGCUGCCUCCAGGGAGAAAAGGAAAAUAUUAAAUAUCUCAUCAUAGGAUAGAGAGAAUAAUGCAGAGAUAUUUUCACCUCAGUACAAGACACCAGGGUUUGUUCUUUCAUGGUAAAUAGUAUCAGAUCCCUCAGGGCAUGGGGAAAUUUCAACUGUAGAUCGAAAAUCGAGCUGAGAGCCCUUCUCUGGCAUGGAUUGAUUUCAGAGGAUCCAAAGGGUUAAUGAAACCAGAGUGAAGCUUGGGGAGCUCAUCCAAUCUCCAUGCGGGUAGAGAGAUGGAAUAAGGGGAGCCCUGGGGCUAAGCCUUCCACUGACUCUAACAGAACCUGUGAAAAUGUGAUCUCUGGAAAUGGACAAACCAACCAGAUUCUGGAAUAGCAGCAAAACUGCAAUAAUGGCUGCAAGCUGAAGUUUUCUCAUAGUGAGUGAUGCCUUUAUUGUGCUACAGAAAGUGCUUUAGGAAGGCUGUGGAAGUUGGCCCUCUAACAGAUCUGCAGACUCAGACUAUUCAAGGGACACAAGGGUACUAGUCAGCAGAAAGCCUUGAGGUAGCAAAAUCUGCUUGUUUGUCCUACUUCAUGAUAGAAGCAUUCCUAACUGAGAAAAGCUUUGGAGGAGACUAAUUCAGUCAUUUGGACCUUUCACAUAAUUAGCUCAGUUGGUGCCUUCUAGGACCUGGAAUGCUGCUGCUGAAAAUGUUGAGGUAUUUCUUAUGUUCUUCAUUGUAUGAAACCACAAGUGAUAACAAAUCCAGCUAUCAACCAGUCUUUUAUCAUUAUGCAGCAUUAUGAAAAAUCUCCUCUCCAUUUGGAUAAGCCAAUAGUGCCAUUGAUUGCACUGAUCUCUUACAGUUGGCGCCAGACUUAUGAUUCUUUAAGCCACAGGAAGAUUAUCUUGGUUUCUUUUCAGCUGCAUAAUUUGUUUCUUCCCACUCACUGCAAGAACACAUUUGGGACUACCUGGCUUUCUAUCUUCGAGUACCACAUUAGGCUUGCUAUCUUGUAGGAACUCAAGUGAUUUUAGGGCUUUGGUUUUUUUUGUUUUGUUUUGUUUUGUUUUUUGAUUUUAUUUUUUGUGAAGGUCAAUGACAGGAUUCAAAUCUGUUUAUAUCCCAAGGUGAAGCAUAACAAUCUCAAAAAGCAUAAUGUAAAACUUCCUCCUCUACUGUAAUGGACAUUGCUCUAGAUCUAAGGAAGAUGAAACCGUGCCUCUAGGUGUGUAGGUGGACCAUAUCUGUCCAAUAUGGCAGUAGGAACAGGUUGAAAACUUUGUGUAGCUUUUCUGUGUGUGUUGAAAUAUGGACCUAGCGUGCAGUGGGGCAUUUAAAUAUUUGCCACUAUGCUGAUCCAUCUAGAUCUUGCAGUGGCCUGCACUAGGCAACCAACCAGCAAGGGGAAAUCAUUGUGGCAUGAAUGGGCUGCAGGCAAGCAGCAUAACAGAGAAGAAAAAUGAGCUAAUGUACACCCUAAGGCUUUGAGAACUCCUAAUACUUGGUAUGUUUUCACAUUUAUCACACAGGAAAAUUACAGAUGUUUCUCAGGAGGUAUUCUCACAUCAUCAUGACAUAGUCCGGAUCUGGUGUCAUGUUCUAGUUGUUACAUCUGGCUGUGCAAUGAGGCAUGCCUCAUGACUCUGAACGUCUGCAGGCUUCCAGUGAUGCAUGAUCACUGGUCCAGCAGCAGAGGUGGCUGCAACAGUGCUGAGGGCAUUCCCUCACCUUCACCUGGAGACAUCUGCUUGGAGAAGGUGAUGGAGACAGAACUAGGCUUUCUGCUGUUUGCUCCUACUCUACUAUCCAAACUGCCUCAGAGCAUCAGAAGGUGAUACUUCCCCACGGUAAUAUUAUCCAAUAUUAAAAACCCGUGAGACUUCAUUUAAUGAUGUCAUCUCACAUAUUAUGGCAGAAUAUAAUAUGAGUAAAAUAAUUAGAGUGUAUUUUGUGGCAAACCAAUAUAAAAUGCAGUGACAGAUCUAUAGCCAUAUGAUGACUAAUUCAGGGUAAAACCAGCAGUGGCUGGAACCGUCUUGCAGAGGUAACACGACUGUUUCCUCAGGGCCUUCCUUUGUCUAGUGAACUUGAUCUCUUUUAGGGUUGUUUAUGUAUUUAGGUCUCUGAAAAACUUCUGGCAACUUUCUUUUCUGUUGUGGUUAAGCAGAUGCAUUAACUGCCAGAGGGCAAUAAAAUUAAAGAAGUCAAUAGCAAAGAAAGGCAACCAUUAACCUUAUUUGGCAUCUACAAAGCAUCUGAAACUGAAAUGGACUUUACAGAGACAUAAAAUGCAGUUUGUGUGACAAAGCUCUUUGUAGAUCCCACAUGGACCUGGUGUUUUUUCCUGCUUAGAAUAGCAAGAAUCUGGUUUUCACUUGAUAAGCUGGUGUAAUAUACUAGAUUGCAACUGUGUAACCCUGGAAAGCUCUUAAAAAAUAGCCUGUUCCAAGGAUUUCAAACCUCUGUUUAAAAUCAAGCACCUUGUAAAACUGUUAGAAAUUGAAAGUUCUGAUUUUCUGGCUGCUGGGUGUGAAAACUUCUGAAUAUCUGGCAAUGGCAAAUAGUGAAUAACACAGUUUUCUUGAAUUGGUGCCUGAAUCUACUAAGUUUGAUAGCACUCCCAGGAAGCACAUCCAAGGAUUUAUCUGAGAAUCAGCACAUCACAAGACCCUCUGGGAGCCUUCCUUCAGUCCUUCAUAGAUUGUACAGCUCCAGCCAGCUGGAUGUAAGUCAUUAAAGCUCCUUAUUCUAUCCAUUAGUAGAUUCAUUAAUAUUUCUCUGUAACUUGGGACACAACAUUUCUCAUGCCAAGCUUAGGAAAGUUUUCUCUUCAUCUAAUUUUGACUUAGAGACAGUUAUAAGGACCAAAAGCUCACCAUGGAGAGGAGGAAAAACUUUUUGUAAAAUUUAAUCUGUCAUUGUGUGCAACAUUUUAGAGGAAUUUCACUUCAGAGAUUAAAGUCUUCCACAGAAGACUGUAGGGGUAUUUAACUCUUGUCACUGCACCCAGUAUUCCUCUCUGAAGUUUAUUAACCUACUAGAAGCAAGGCAACGAGCUUUUCAUGGCAGGCUUCCUGAAGAAAAAAUGGAAAAUACAAAACAUGUCUCCUUCUAGGAGCUGAGAAACUUGACAAACAUAGUGUUAAACUGUUCAUAUACUCCAGAGAUGGGUACCACUAGAAGGCUGCCAACUUAAACACAAAUAAUUGUUUUGGGGUAGAAAAACACAAUCCAUGUAUUCUUUCAUAUACACUUAGACUGAGUUAUACUUUUAUUCUUUAUAUAUGUAUGCAUAUAUUAUACAUACACAUGCAUAUACAAACAUAUGUAUAUGACAUAUGUGUAUAUAUAUAUAUACAUAAAUAUAUAUAUGACCAUAUAUUUUAACAGCAACAUCUGCAGAUGUUCUCAGCGAGAAUUUGUGGACUUACAUUUGCAGAAUUUUUCUGUAAACCUGAGGGGAAAAAUAAAAGAACCUUAACUAUUUGAUUCCUCCAAGAGAAAAUACCUCAGUGCUGAAACCAGCUGGAGCACUAAUUGUUCUCUGAAAUGUUGACUUGGUUACUUUUCUGAAAGCAAACAGUAAGCAAUUGCUCCUCAUUAUUUACCAUGUGGUAAUUCAGCCUUGAUGUCAGAGGUUAAGCAUUUGCUUUUUGCUCUUGGUCACAUGUAAGAAAACUCAUUACGUAGAUUUUUUUUUUCCUUCUUUAUUUAAUAAAGGUCCAUAUUUGCUUAGAGGAAUUUAUGGAAGAAGCAAACUAGGGGCAGCAGGAACAAGCUCAGAGCCCUGCAGGGUGUACUCUGUAUUGCCAAAGUCAAUAUUGCCUUUCUGUACACAAAACAAGGAGCCCUCAGGCUCUAAAAACAAGUACAAAAACUCCCUUUCUCCAAUUUUUGGUUUAGCUUUCCAUCUGGGAUAUAAUCUGAUUUUUGCACAAAUAGCAGCACUACUGGAAUUUGACUUUCUCUUCAACAUUUUCUACCUACUUGGAUAUUUGUAGCAUUUCUCCACUGAUCAGAGGUUAACCUCUUGUCCUCUGGUUCUCUUGUGUUUAUACUCACUGAAAGAUUGGUACAGCUGUCAGUGAUGUCUGUCUAGACAACACAGGACUGGAGCUGGGGUGUAGUACCGCUGAUAAGUCAAACAUUCUAAUUGAGAAAGACAGAGCAUCAUGGCCAGAAGGGCUGAUGUAAGGAUAGGAUGUGCAGUGGCCCACAGAGACAGUUGAGGACUUGACAGACCGCACUGAAUCCCAUGUAUUUUGAGCUUUGUUUUUUGGAGGUCCAUUGGGGGCAUUGUGGGGUCUAGCUGCUGAAGAUGUGGGUUUAUGGGACGAUUGCUAGGCCUGUGAACCUUGCCCAGCAAGAGCUUCUGCGGAGAGUGUCUGCAACCUUCAGCUGAGCAACUGUUGCCACCAUCUCUUAAAUUGCAGCCACAUUUCUUUCUGUGAGUGGCAGCAUUAAUAAUGAUGAGCAGAGUCUCUUCUUGCCACAUCUACCCUCACAGCCUUUCAUCCCUGGUCCUCAACAGGUGGGCUUGAUCUCAGCAUGAGGUAAGCAGAGGCUGUCAGAGAGAUUUGUGACGCACUGCCACGUCAGGAUAGGGACUUUUCUGGCCUUCCAUGCCAAAUUCCUCAAUACAUUAGAUGCAGCUCCUCAAAGAAUGGAAAUUCAGAGGGCCAAAAUACGCAUCUGUCUGUGUCUCCUUGCUUCUCAUAAUCCUUCUCCAACAUCAUAUACACCUUUCUUCGUCUGCCUCAGUUCAGAAUUCUUUGUUCUGUUGAGGCUUCUGCAUAGCUGAGGACUUCAAAGCCUCUGCUUAAUUUGUGUUUGUACUUCUAAGUACUGAAUGAAGGUGUUUGGCAGAGGCAGGUUCUUUCAGAGUAUUUGUGUAUAAACAUGAAAGUUACAACCUUCUGCUUCUUGCUGCUUUCAUCUUUUCAGGCUCAGAGAUAAAAAUGUAGUUGAGUUUUUGGACUCUACAGAAAGUUUUAUUAAAAGAAUAACUCAGGCUCAGAAGUUCUGCUGAGCUCCUUUUCUCUUUCCCCAUCUCCUUCCUUUUUAUUUUUUUGUUUUUAAUUUCCCUUGUUACUUGCUCCUGUAAUCGAGCACUGGUAUCGGGCUGUUUUGGUGGAUGCCUUCUUGCAUUGUUGCUUUUUGGGGCACUGGGGCUGUGUACCUGGUGGCUUCCUUUGUUACAGACGUUGACACUGUCCACUGCACAGCUCCUGUCACCACUGAUGAGGGUGAAGGUGUGAAAAACUGAGUGUUUCAGCAUCAUGUUGCCAGUUUGUCUCCAGAUUGCCAUGGAGAAACAUACUAAGGAUGCCUUUCCAUUGACAACAAAGCAAACACAGAUGACUAGCUUCAAUAUUGGCUUUUCAGGAUUUUUUUCCCUGUAUUUCAAGAGGUAGUUGAGCUCAAGAAAUCUUUCAACACAGAGGUGAGAACUGGAGUGUCCUAGUUGCUAAUAUAAUCUCUUUAGAGAAAGAGGUAAUUAUCAGACAUUGGGAUAUUUGUGAGUGAUCCACCUCAGUUACUUGCAGGAUGAGCAUCAUAUGCAUAUGGCUCCUCUUGGAAGCUUACUUGCUUUACUUGACUUUUGUGUCAGCUGGAAUCUGAUAAUUUAACUGUUAAUGACUUGUACCAGUGCAAUUGUUGGUCUUCCAUCACUCAUGAAAUAUUGUCAAAAAUUUACUGCUCCAAAGGCUAUGCAGAGCUUAGGUCCUUGAGGUAUACUUUUUUUCCUAAUGCUGAGCACAGUAGCUAUAAUAUUACAUUUCUGUGCUUGAAAUAAACCUUGCUGAACUCCAUUAUAACAAAUUUCAGUGCUUCACUUCAAGCACUUCAUUUGUAUGUAGAGAAACAAAAAUACCUAAUAUCCUGCAAAGUGAUUAACUCUUGUGUUAUUGCCAAUGUGACAUUCAUCCACAGACAUAUUUCCUGGGAUUAAGAUACUGGCCAUGCUUAUUAGACUGGGCCAAGGAUAUGGGAUAUCAGGUGGAAUUUGCAGCACUUUCCUUUUAAUGAAUAUUUUAAUGAGGAUUUUCCAUGUUCAAGUUCUAUCACCUGCACUGACAUAAAAGUGCAGUGCAAGCUUUCUUUUGAAGUCCACUAGGAUUUCCUUAAAGUUAUGGUCAGAUAAUUUCAUUGCUUGCAACUAUCAUCUCCCAGGUGAGAGGAGUCAAUUUCCUGCAUACAUUUGUGCAGAUCAUUUCCAGAAAAUGUUGUUUAAGAUAUCCCUUUUUAUUUUGCAUUACAAGAUGCUGGAAGCACGGCAGCUUUCAAUUUCUGCAGUUCAGCUAAGGAAAUAAAUCCGCUGCUCGCCUGGCGUUUGUUGCUUCCUGUGAUACUACAAACUACUGAGAGAAAAUUAGCAUUUCAUCUCCAAGUAUUUCCUUAACCAAUAUACAUGUCUGUUAAUAAUAUCUCCCAAGAGAAAAAUACAUCAGUAUAUCUAUACUUCACUUCAGUGAAGAAAACCCUGCAUAUUUAGGAAGCAUAGCUUUGCUAUCAGAGAAACUGUCAAGUUAACUGCAGAUGCAUAAUUCUGAAAUAUUCUGCUCGUUUAAAAUUGCCUGAAUGUUCAUAUAUCAUUAGUAAGAAUACUGCAAUUAAUUAGUUACGUAAUUAGUUCAAAAAUGUUGUUGAAACUUCAGUUCCAGCUAAAAGAAUGUUUUCAGGCUCUUUUCUCAGCUUGGUGAUUUUCUGUGCAUUUCUAAGCCUCAGUAAGUUUUUGGGUACACAGUGUUAGUCUGAAGUAUUGUAAGUUAUGCUGACUCCCUCUUGAGCUACUGACCCAAGGCUGGGAGGCACCUCUGGAGUUAUUCAUUCCAACCUCCUUCCUGAGGUAGGAUCAAUGCCAAAUGCAGGUCAGGUUGCUCAGGGCUUUGGGCUGAGUAUGCAGAGUCCACAGACUUUCUGGUUCCCUUUUUCAGUGCUUAAUCCUAGUGAAGAGCUUUUUUUCUUAAGUCCUUGUGAUUCUUGUUCCUCGUCCUUUGAUUGUGCUUCUAAAGGAGGAGCAUGGCUGCCUUUUCUGUAAUCUCCUUUCAGGUAGCAGAAGAGAAUAACCCAAUUCCUCACCAGCUUCUUCAGCUCCAGUCUGAACUUCCCCAGUACUUUCAGCCUCUCUGCAUUCAGAAUGUGCUCCAGUCCAUGCCGAUGGACUUUGGCUGGGCUCUCCCCCAGGAUGUCAGCAAACCAUGAUGGUCCCAUCAGCACCAAGAGCUCCGCAUGGGGAAAUGAGCUGCCUUCGAAAAGGUACAACUCGUGUUUUAGCCUUAGAAUCCUUUUCUCUUUUAAAGGUCGCAGUACAAUUUUAAACUCAGAAUAUUGCAAUGCAUUUAAAUGUCUGAAAUAUAGGGUAAAGAAGAUUUACUAAUAUGAAAUAGAAAUGAAGGGAUCACAUCUACCUUCCUACUGCCAGAACUGACUCAUCCCAGGAAUAACAAUUUCAAGCACUGAGAAAAUGAAACUGGCCUUUUGGUGCCAUAAUCUUAAACUUGUGACCUCACUGCUCCUCACUGUACAGAGGGGUGAUAGUUUCUGCAACAAGAGGCUGUUUUGGUGCAUGAGGGGAGAGCUGUGAAUUUGUUCAUUGUGACUUUCACAGGUGAUUUUCAACACUGUCCACUGUUACUUCCACAUAGGCAAACUGACAAAGGAUGAGGCAGGUAAGUGGAAAGUGAGAUGGGGAGAAACUGGCUAAACAGAAGGUCUGGAAGUACAUUAUGUGAUAUUGGGUAUUCUAUAGAGGCCACUAGGAACUGAUAAAUCCUCAGUACUGCUUUGAAAGAAAUUCAGAGCAAGACUUUAUGGUAACCAAGAACAUUUUUAGUAACACAAGAUUAUGAUAGGUGUGUAUUAAUUUUUCUCCACUAAAAUUCAAACUUAUACAAGCAAUAUUUUUGGAGGAAAUACUUCAUUAAAGUAUUUGGACCUUCAAAACAUACCAGUUGUUCUAUCUAUAGGACAGUAAAAAAACAGCAAAAUACCCUCAUGACUAUAUUUCCCUAAAAAAAUGGAUGAAAUUGUAACUAUAUAAGUAUGUGUGUAUUGAGUUUUAUUCCUAACACUGAUUUAAUUGCAAAGGCCAGGUAAAAUAGAGAUCAAAGCAUCUACCAAGCUGCUCGCUUAGCUCUAUAAAAGCAUGUGGUACUUAGAAGACAUAAGAAAAUGAUAGUAAAUAGAGAUUUACAAUGUAAUUUGUAAUAGAAGUUUAACUGGGGGCUCAUUGUACUAAAUCCUGUUGAGAAGAAAAAGCCUUUGACUCUGCCUGGAGAGAGAACAGGAUGAAAGACAGAGUUUUAUUGCACUUUUGCCUAAAGAGAAGAUGAAUAACUGAGUCACACCAGAAAUCUGAAUCAGUACAGAAUGUGAAAGCUGGAUCUGAGUCCUAAUCUGAUGUCCUCAUACUAGAACAGUCUUUCCUUGUUUUAUAAAGGGAAGGGGAAAAGCUAUAUUCCAAAUUACCUCCACACCUUGCAGUUGAAUUAAGGAACAUAAAGGAGUGGACUGCACUGUGCAAGCAGCAGUGGACUGCCAUGAAGAUAGAUGGUGUCUGGGAUGAGAUGGGGUGAAAAGAAGAAGCAAGUGGGUUUUUUCCAUUGUGGUGAGUCAUGUAAAGCAAGAAAGCACUAAGAAGCUGAGUAUUUUUUCCUUUCUUUUUCAGCUGCCACAAAGAAGCCAUCUCAGCAUCCAUACAGUUAAGCAACCUGGGCUCCUUCUGUGUACAGGGAGUGAUUGUUUCUUGCUUGCAGAGGGAAAUGCACACACACGUGCAGCCAUACGCUUAAGAAUGGUUUAAAACUGUCAUAUUUGACUUCCUUGCCCAUAUGACAAUUCUCUUCAAAAAUAGCCCUCCUGGCUGCAGGCUGGCAGAGCUGCUCCUGCCCUGAUUUAAAUGACAAAACUCAAUUAGAGUUUGAAUCUGUUGCACUGAAAUGGAAUUGUCUCUUGCAGCCAGAGCUCGGUCACGGAUGCGACGUCGGGAGCUUUGGAGGCUGUGCCUGUGGGGAGGGCAGCCAGGGGGGCCUCUGAGCUCCUUGGAACAUGGAUUUCCCAUCUGCUGUUGCUCUGGAAAGGGAACUCCAUUGCUGUUCUCCACGUAUGUACAAGGACCAGCUGCUUCUUGUCAGCUUUUUCUGGCUGACCACCUCCAUGCUUGAGGGGGCCAAGGGGUGGCAGGGACCUGCACUCAACUAUGUUCAUGAGGACAGUCUCCCUUAGUUUUGCCCCUCUGGCUUUGUACAAACCUCCUUCCCAUUCCAGGCACUUGCAAGUAUUUUGGCUGAGCUGGAGCUAAGGCAAAAUGUUUGGCUUUCUGGUAACAGGUUCACCACAGGAGAUUCCCCAGUCCCUCACUGCUCUCUCCUCUCUCCUUGUUGUCCCACAGCAGGCUAUUUCCAGACACAGAAGGAGACACUUCAAUACUGCCUCUGCUCCUUGUAGAUCUGAGCUGACCUCAGCAUUUUUCUCAUCAGCAUGCACUGAGAUGUAUGUCUAGAAAUCAACAACUGCCCCAUGCCUCUCUUAUCUGGAAUCUCAGCCUAACCUUGGUUUAUAAGUCACUUGUGUUAAACUGUUCCUCAUAAAUAGCAGCUCCCAGCAUGUCUUCUUUUCUCUGUGGCUUGUAUUUGUGUGUGAGAGGCAGAAAACAGGUCUAAUUUACAUCAGUGCAGCUGGCUCCUCUGAUCUGCCACCUGGAGACUCAGCCAACCAGGAAUGUGUGCUUGCAAAGGGGCCAGGCCUCUGCUUCCUCUGGCUGUGUCUAUCUCUGUAUUGGCCAUGGGCAAAAGUACCCCUGACCCAUCCCUCAGGAACCUGCUGGACCACCUGCAGCUGGUGCUGUGGACCACAAGAAGGAUCCACUUGUCCAAGCAGUGCAGCAGACUUCAGCGAUCCUCUUCCAAGACUGAUGGUGCAGAGAUGUAAGUGAAUUUAUGGAGAAAGACCAGGAAAAUGGCUCAUGCUUUGGUGGGAUAGAUUGGAAGGCAGGCAGGGUUUGCCAGUAGGUGCCUGACAUACAUGGCUGUGUAUGUCCCUUGAUGAAUGUCAGAGCUCUUCAAUGAGGAGGGAAGACUGUUCUCACUGGAACAAAUCCCACUGAGAUGGGCAGAGGAGAUUUAUCCUGGACUACUCUUUUUUUCUAGAAAUAAAAUCACCACAAGCACAAUAUAAUAAGAGUCUAUGUGAAUAUGAGCUAACUUACCCCUGUGCUGUCCCAGGAGAGGACAAACUCUUUUUUCUUUACCCAUGAGGAUGUACCCUGGGGCCUACCUGCUGCUGUCUGACGUUCCAGACAAUCAAAAAUCAAUUCAAACCUCAAGACAUGGCUAGCUUUCCUGGAGACUGAAUGAGAGGGAUGGGGUAGAUGAACGCAGUGUGCUGUUUUCUCUCUUUGCAUAUUCCUGGAACCACAAAACCAGUUAAAAGGAAUAGAAUGGACUAGCUAAGAAACAGAAACAGUGAAACAAAGCACUGGCUGAUGUCCAGUUCCACGUGGCAGAUAGGGCAAGUCGUGUGCCCAGCCCCCUUCAUGGAAGUGCUCGGAUCCCAGACAGAGCACCUCUCCUUGACCAGGUUGUGGUGUGAAUGAUCCUACUAUAAACUACUUUUCAACAAAGCUCCCUGGGAACCAAGCUCUACAAAGACAUGAGAAAAAUCAGCUAAGCCUGGAUGGCUGAAAGGCAAAGACUGAGAACACCCCAUCCCUGCUCAGGCUGCAGUUCCUGCAGCAGUAGUGGUGAUUACAGCACCUGGGAUUGUGAUGGAUGGGAACAGCAUUGGCAACUGGGGACAAGGAUCAGACCCAGGUGGGAACAAUUCCUAGUCAUGCUCUGCAGACUCCAUACAUAGCAGGCUCUGCCUGCAGCUGAAGCAUCAGUGAAUUCAGAAUAGAAAAUAAUGUGAAACUGAGAGCUUUGCCUGCUCUGAAGUUCAUUAGAAAGAAGUAAGCAGGACUCAGAAGACAAGGCACUGAUCUCCAGCAGAUACCACCCACAAGGUAAAAAGAUGUCAUGAAAGCUAAGAAUGCUUUAGAACUACAAUGGAGGAAACAUGGGUAGAAAAUACUUCUGAAAUGAUGUCCCCUACUGAUAAAAAAGGUGAAUUUAAGGAGGGUGCAGAAGAAGAGAGAAGCAUCAUUCCAAUGGAUGGGAAAGAAUCUGAACUGCCCACCUGGGGAUUUUCAGAGGAAAGCAGUUCACAAGAGAUGUGCCACUGUGGUGUGAGAUCGAUCUCAUGUGAUGGCAAACAGAGUAAGUAAGAAAAUACCCCAAGGACAUUGGAUCUCAGCAUUAAAUCCAAGCAUUUGGAAACCGCCUCCAUAAGACAAACAAGGAAAGAAAUGAACUCUGCUGUCCUGCCAAGGGCAGCCACGUGCUUCCAGUGUCUUCAUUCUCAGAGGGAAUGCUGUUGUCACCGGGAGGAUCCAUGCAAGGAAGAGAGCAAUGAGGCCUCUUCAGACCCAACCCUGAUGUCUUUACAGCUGAACAGCUCUCUGUCCAGCAUUGCCAGCAUGGGCAGUUAUACCAGCUGAAAAUCAGAGCCAAGCUGUGGAAUGGAGACAGGAAAGCCCAUUUCAGAGAGGGCAGGGAUGAAACCUCAUAAGUCAUCUGUCAGGGAGAGCUGAGCCCCAGCACGACGUGAUGUGGAGGUGUGGUACAUGACAUCUGGACACUCCCGAUGCGCUGUUGGCCACAGCCAUCUGGCCAAACUCCCAGACUUGCAUGAGGAAAAACAGCAGCACAUGCUGUCACAUGCAAAUCAAUACUUAAGCAGCAUUUCUGGAAGAAAGAGGGAUGAAGAUACUAAAAGAAAGAUCAAAAAACAGUUGGGAGUUGCCAGAUGGCAGCUGCUGCUUGGGGACUGGCUGGGCAUCGAUUGCUGGGUGGUAAGCAGUUCCUUGUGUAUCACUAGUUUUGUAUAUGUAUUUUAUAUAUUAUAUUAUUAUUAUUAUUGUCUUUUUUUUCCUUUGUCUUUUCUUUGUACGUGGUUUUUGUUUCAACCCAUGAGUUCUGAUUUGUUUUUUUCCCUUGUAUAUCCUUACCUGACAACAGAAAAGAAUAUUCUGCUUUUUGCAGCUCCACAAGCACAUCCCCAGCAGCAAUACCACCACUGCAGCCUUCGGCUUUUCCUGUCUGCUGCUGAACUGUCUGUCUGUUAUGUUGGUAAAAAGGUUUCCAGGGGCAACUUUAUCAGAUUUAGGCAGCAUUGCCCUCAAGUAUAAAAGAUCAGCCAGGGUUGGACUGUUAAAGGAAUACUGAGAGGUCCCUGAGUACAGUCUUUCUUACAGAGCAGGGUUAGUUGUACCCAGACCUUCCCAACAGAUGGCUGUAGGGGCAUGCAUAAGCGGCUGCUGGAGGCCAUCUCCUCUUAAGCGAGAUGGACUGGAGUUGGAGCUACAUCCCAGCAGCUUGGGGAUGACUGUAUGGAGAUGCCAAGAGACACUGGAGAUAACACCUUGAAGACCAGAGACAAAAGCUGCUGUUCAUCUCUCUGACAGACCAUAUUGCAUAUUGAGGUGUUUGACUGUUUUCAAGUCAUUGUUAUGGGGAAGAAUAUGUUUGCAGAAAAACCUUUGACACUUGAGUGAGAACAAUGAGUUCUCACAUUUCCCUCUCUGAACUCCACACCUCUGAUAAAGAACCAAACAGGAAUUAGAGCAGCUGCUCUGUAUGGAGGAGGGCUACAGUGCAGUCCAUGAGAUGGUUGGCAUCACCACUUCCUGUACUGAAGGCACCAGACAUGGACAUUAAGCUCAGUGAAACUGAGUAACUUCAUUGAGUCUUUGGAUCCACCUUGCUUUAUGUAAUAAAAUUGAAAGAAAUGCAGUGUAUCAGCAUCAGGAACAAUACACAUAAAUCAGACCCAAAGACCCUGGAUAGCCUCAGACUGAGUUGCUUAAGGACACAUUGCUUUCCAAAGACCUUGAAGAAUGGUGAGCUACCAAGGAUUUUUCAGUCCCAGAGAGGAGCAUGUGCUCAGCCUGACUCAGUUUGACGGUUCUGCCAGCUGUGCUGUGUGACCUCCAAGUGCAGAGGUGACCACAGCCAUCUGCCUCCCCCUGGCCCAUGGGGUGCUGGGGUCAGGAUGAAAUCAGAAGCACAGUGAGCUACCUCUUACUAGGGAGGUAGUGUCUUGGAGCAACUUCACUGUUUGGCUGCAGUGAAAUGGAGAAGAUAGUCUCUGAAAAAUCACCUCAGAAGGCCCAUUUAACUCCUGGGGCUGUCCAGCAUCCCUCGGAGCUCUAUUGCCAGUUUAUGGAGGAGAAAAUAGUCAAUACACAGGUUUGCAGCAUCUGUUGUGGAAUGCUGGCAUUCAAUUAAGAGAAGAGCAAGACAACUCAUUUCCAUUUGACACCAAAUAUACAGAAAACAUGGCACAGCAGGAAACAUCUCUCUCUUCUGUGUUAAUUUUACCAGGGAUUUACCUGGCUUGGUAAUGUGCAACCAUAAUGAUCCCAACAAUAAAACUUCCAGCUGAGUCAAUCUCAGCUUUUGCCCAGUGAAAAAAUAUUUGUAGUAUUGGAGCUCUGUGUAUAUUGAAAGUGACCUUGUUACAUAGGUACAUCUUCCACCAAUACAGACCUGCUACCUACAGGGCAGUGCUGAGCAGCAUUUGGCCAGGGACCAGCAGACCCUCUGACAGAGUAGUAAAGCAAGGAACUCUAAGAUGGUUAGAUGGUUAGGAUGCCUCUUAUUUAAUAUGCCAAGUGGAAUAGCCUCCAUUAAGUUUCUGGCAAUUAUUAACUCAUUUUUUCCUAGCUAGAAAAGAAAGGUAGUUUUGUUUUCACAGUUUCCUGGCAGACAUUAAGAUAAGAUAGUCUUGUCUUAAUAUCUAUUGUCUAUAGAUAUACUAUUGUCUAUAGUAUGAAGACUGUCUUCAUACUAUAACUCAGUGGGACUUCUCUCCUGAGAAUGGAGUGGAGCAAAGCAGGAUUAACAUUGAUUUUACCACUGCUGCCUUCUCUAAGGGAAAAAGUCCUUGCUGAUUUAAGACAAUGUUCUUUUGUGUGUGUGGAAAUCUUUGGGGAGUUAUGCUGCCUGUAUUUAAGGUCUCUAGAGGUCCAAGUCCCUCGAGACUUUAUGGAAGACAGACUCAGAUUGAAACUCUGAGCAUAUAAUAAAAAAAAUUAAACUGUAAGAAUGAAGUCAAUGUAACCACAACACCCAUUCAGUGGCUUCAGCAAUUACCUGUUAGAUACAACAAACUUUUGACCAGUGUUCAUCCAAACUUUUUUUGGAUUACAAUUCCACAUGAAAAUAUUGUGCAAUUGUUCGAGUUUCUUUCUUCUCAGCAGUGCCUCCUUCAAGACUUAAGCUUACGAACUAUAGUAGGAUUUCGGCUGUCUUGGUCCAUCCUAAGCAACAUGUUUUUGCAUAAGGAAGUUUCAAAUGCAGCUUUCAGCUGCAAAAAGUGUUUCUCAGAUAGUUUCAGCUGUGAUUCUGUGCAUGUGGCUCAGGGGCAGAACAUGGAGGCAGGAAUAAACAUGGUGCAGAUCAGUGUUAGAUAGCUAAUAUAGAGCUGGUAUCUGAUUCCUGGUAGAGAAAGAAAGUCAGAUAUCACUUACAGCCUGAUAAAUCAUUCUCCAACUUUACCAUCUACUGUUUGGCUUUUGCCACUUAGAGCCCUCAUGACUCCAUCCUCAUAAUGAACAAGUCAAUGAAUAUUUUAAAACUCCAGCUAUUACUGCCUGUUUAAAUCUUCCUACUUAGUGGUUUGUGAGGUUUUCAGGUAUUUCUGACUCAGUUCUCUGUGGUUUGUAUAGGUUUUAUAAAGGGCACAGGGAAGAAAGCAGGUGUUGCUUCUUGGCAGAUUUGUUGAUACUGGCACAAAUGACCAAAUGGAAAAAAAAAACAGAACAAUUACAAUA